UACGGGGGGGCAAGCGUUGUUCGGAAUUACUGGGCGUAAAGGCUCGCAGGCGGCCGACUAAGUCAGACGUGAAAUCCCUUGGCUUAACCAAGGAAUGGCGUCUGAUACUGGACGGCUUGAAUCCGGGAGAGGGAUGUGGAAUUCCAGGUGUAGCGGUGAAAUGCGUAGAUAUCUGGAGGAACACCGGUGGCGAAGGCGGCAUCCUGGACCGGUAUUGACGCUGAGGAGCGAAAGCCAGGGGAGCAAAGCGGG
rnacentral:rRNA from 1 species